rnacentral:rRNA from 1 species
UACAGAGGUGGCAAGCGUUGUUCGGAAUUCCUGGGCGUAAAGGGCGCGUAGGCGGUUCGUUAAGUCCUGUGUGAAAUCCCCCGGCUCAACUGGGGAACUGCACAGGAAACUAGCGGGCUUGAGUUCGGGAGAGGGAAGCGGAAUUCCGGGUGUAGCGGUGAAAUGCGUAGAUAUCCGGAGGAACACCGGUGGCGAAGGCGGCUUCCUGGACCGACACUGACGCUGAGGCGCGAAAGCUAGGGGAGCAAACGGG